UUUCGCAAUGCCCGAAAGGGUGACGAAGCGACGCCGCGUGCGGGAAGAAGGCCUUCGGGUUGUAAACCGCUGUCGGGAGUUAAGAAAUGUAAGGAUGUUAAUAGCAUCUUUGCUUGACUAAGGCUCCGGAGGAAGCCACGGCUAACUCUGUGCCAGCAGCCGCGGUAAUACAGAGGCGGCAAGCGUUGUUCGGAAUUAUUGGGCGUAAAGAGCACGUAGGCGGCUAUGUAAGUCGGUUGUGAAAGCCUUCCGCUCAACGGGAGAACAGCAUCCGAUACUGCAUGGCUUGAGUGCGGGAGGGGAGAGUGGAACUUCUGGUGGAGCGGUGAAAUGCGUAGAUAUCAGAAGGAACGCCGGCGGCGAAAGCGGCUCUCUGGCCCAUAACUGACGCUGAGUGUGCGAAAGCUAGGGGAGCAAACGGGAUUAGGUACCCCGGUAGUCCUAGCCGUAAACGAUGGGCACUAAGUAGAGGGGUUUUA
rnacentral:rRNA from 1 species